rnacentral:lncRNA from 1 species
CAUGUUGACCCUGGAUCCAGGACUAUUCCAUGGAGUGAACUUUGCCCAGGUGCUCCAUCUAACUGCUACAUCUAUCAGAUGAAAUAGCAGAGUAUUCCUUGACAUUUUGGACAGAGUAACUGCAAAUGAACGUGUAUAGCUGUAUUUACACCUUCCUGGGAAGAGAGAAAUUUCCAGUAAUGAAAGAUUACUUGGACAAACCUCUGGAUUGGCCACUGGGUCGAGGUUGGUAACCCAGGAGGUUAAUGACCUCAGGGUCAUCCCAGGAAGUAGACCGGAUCUGGAUGAUCAUCAGCCUCAGCGUAGCCUGGCAGAGCUGCCUAGCACUGCUCAUGGCAAGAGGAAGCCAGGCCAUCUUCCACGCCUUAGAAGCAGUGCUGUCAAGGGCCAUGCCCCUGACCCUAAUCCAAGCUUGUCUAUAGUCUCCAAAAGAAUCUUUAAGGGUGAAUCUGUUAUCGAAGGCCCUGAGGACAGGCAGACAUUUGUUGGGCCCAGUGGCUUGCCAAAGAUUAGCCCCAAAGCAACAGCAGGGGAGGCCCAAGGGAAGAAGAGGACAAUGGAGUUGCUUAACAAGGCUCAAAAGCAAGAAGAAAAAGUCUCAAACCUACUAGAUAUCAGACAGCUCCCGAAGCAAGAGGUGUUUAUUAACAACACACACCCAUGCAAGAAACAUCUGAAACAGCAACCAAUGAGCCUUGAGGAAUGGAGGAGGGGCCGUCUAGGGGGAGACAACACAGGACUCAUAAUAUCACAAGAACCUUUCAGGUGCUGUGAAAGUCUUGCCCUAGAAGAAAACACCUUUUUGAAGGGCAAGAAGAUCAAGCCCUAUUGUAGGCAUUCAGACCAGAUAGCAUGUCCGCUAUUAGUCGAAGAGCAGGGGCCUGGAGAAGGGCAGAAGCCAGUGUCUUCAGGCCAACAGGGACUGAAAGCCACAAAAACAUCCAAAGGAAAGAUGUCAACUGUUGCCAAUGUCAAUGCCAAUGUCAACUGUUGGAAGUAACUUCCCUAGAGGCAGAAGCCAGCCUGGAGGUCCUCAAGAGGAGGAGGAGGAUGCAGGCUAUGGAGAUGUCCAAAAAACCUCAGGACAGAGGACUUGGUCGAGAAAAAGCAGUCUUCCUAAGCAGAGAGAAAGUAAAACCAUCUUCUCAUGACAUGCAUCUGAGCCCUGCUGAAAGAAGCUUUAAACCUAAAUCAAUGCCAAAGGCAGAAGACUGGGACCACUCAGUCCAGGGAACUCCAGUAGUGCUUACUGUUCGGGACCACAGCAAUGUCUCACAGGCUCAGAAACAUAUGGGCUGUGCUGAAAUAUUUCAUUCCAGAGAUGGGCGAUGUACUUUAUUGAAGAGAGGAGGAGCCUAGAGAGAGUAGAGACUUUCUCUGCAUCCUGCUCGGGAAGGAGACCUGAACCCAUGAUAUAAGGAUGUAUGCUGAGAGGUACAGAUCAAGGUUCAUCCACCUAUGCGUAGCUAUCCAAUUCAGACAUUAUGUGUCAUAGAUACUGUCUCUUCAAUAUGCACUGUUGGCAUCAUUGUGAAAAAUCUGGUGGCUAUAGGAGUGUGGGCUUAUAUCUGGGUCCUCUUUUAAAAUAUGACUUUAGUUUCAUGGGUUUAUAUCUGAAUCCUCUAUUCUAUUCUAUUGAGCUGCUGCAUGUUUCUGUGCUAGUACCAUGCUGUUUGGAUCACUAUGUCUCUGUAGUAUACUACAGUUUUAGGCCAGGUGACUGAGGCACCCAUUGUUCCACAUGAGAAUCGGACAGAGUUCCAAGAGUCCACUGGCAUCAACAUCCCGUGUAUUCCAUGUGAAAGCAAGAAUUGAGGAUAAGACAACUUUAGGAAACAUCAAUGAGGAGAACAAAAUAGAGUCUUGUCAAGUGUGACGAGAUUAUCUGAUGAUUGGAUGGAAAUCGUACUGCACUGUAGGAUUAGCAGCAUCAGACAAUGGGGGACUAGACUACUCAGUUGUUGGUGACAUAUGAGGCAGAAUACCUGGGGCCCUGGGCUUCUCUCUUGGGGGAGCUCCCCUAUGGUGGUGUUUUAGGACCCACUAAGGAACAAAUUGCUGAAGGAAAUCUAAGUAGAGAUAUAGUAUUCUUCAGGAGAAAUAUUUUUGUUGGAUCUCAAUCCACCAAGUUCCAGGCAGUUGAGCUGCUACAGUAAUUUCCUGGACACUCCAGAUCCUUGGAUAUUGACCACCUUUACAGGGAAAAAAAAGAAUGAUGUGUUCUGUAAGCAUUGAGCAAGGCAUAGAAAAUGUAAUGUCUUAAAUGAAACUGUUUCAGAUCUGCACACAAAUGUGGACAUUUUAAGUGCAUCCCUCUGCUGAUUCAAUAUUAUGAAAACAUCUUUUACAUUCUGAGAGACAGGAACUUUUGCUGGAUCUUAGAGACAGAGUUAAUAACACAUGUUGAUGUCCUGUUAUACUUAAAUCUCUAUCCUACUCUGUACUCAGGAUUUGUUUAAUUUGCCUUUAAGAGAACAAUGUAACACUUGGGUGGUGGUGGUACAUAGCUUUAAUCCCAGCACUCUAGAGGCAGAGACAGGCUUGAGGCCAACCCGGUCUACAGCCAAAGCUACACAGAGAAACCCUGUCUUAACACAACACACAUACACAUACACCACACACACACACACACACCCCAAAGAAACACACAAACAAGAACAAUGUAACAGCCAUCUUUACUUGCCUCAGGUUUCCCAUGUCAUCAGGUUUUACAACCCAAGCUAAUGUGUAGCUGUGAUCUUAAGUCACACACUCAGCCGUGCCCUUGAUCUGGAGUAAUGCUUGCAUGUAUGUAUGCUAUGAUAUCAAAUAUAGGUAGAAAGCAUUCUUAUAAAAUGAACACCCAUUGUAACUGUUGAAGACAAUUUAUGGAUAUUGCUUGAUAAAUAAUAAUGUUUGCUGUACUGUUAUCUGAGUUAGUGGGGUCAUUUGGAGUCAGUGACUUAAUCUUUUGUGUAUUUCAAUACAGUAUCUUUCAUUCCUUCCCCAAUAUGUUGUUUUCUGUGCUGUUCAAUAAAAGAGAGAACAAAGCCCUUAGUUAAGAUCUCUCUCUCUCUCUCUCUCUCACACACACACACACACACAAACACACACACACACACACUGGGAACUGUUUGCUGCUUCUCCAAAGCAGAGAAAAAGAAGAGAAAAGCCUGCCUACCAAGGCAGGUCAGGGUCUGCUAGAAGACUUCCCAGCCUGCUGAGGCAUAGAACAACAAGAGAUAUGCUUGAGACUCAAGGUGAGGGGCUGAAGAUUCUAUUGACCUUGGUGGAAGGAAUAGGGAGGUUUUCUGGUGAGAACAAAUGUCUUGUGUGUAUAUUUUAUCAAAUUGUUUAUGUUAGCUUGAGGCUUUGCUUUCCACAGUACUGUAGUACAAAAAAGAAAAACACUCAUUGCUGAUGUGGUAAUGACCUGCAGCCCUCCCACUGUGAUAUUAAGCUGAAGCUCUCUAGGAGGAACUGUGGACAAGUGCUACUGAGAGAACAUGGCUGACAUGCGGGUUCCGUGUAGCAGUGCCUUCACAGCAUCAGAGCUGCUGUUGAAAUGUAAAGCCUUCAG